rnacentral:tRNA from 1 species
GGUGGCUCAGUGGUAGAGUGCUUGCCUUGCAUGCAUGAGGCCCCCUGAGUUCUAUUCCUCAGCACCA